AUUUAACGCUGGCGGCAGGCCUAACACAUGCAAGUCGAACGAUUGGCGGACAGGUGAGUAAUGUCUGGGAAACUGCCUGAUGAAGGGGGAUAACUACUGGAAACGUUAGCUAAUACCGCAUCCCCUCCCAUGUGCACAAAUGGGAUUAGCUUGUUGGUGGGGUAACGGCUAACCAAGUCGACGAUCCCUAGCUGGUCUGAGAGGAUGACCAGCCACACGGGAACUGAUACACGGUACAGACUCCUACGGGAGUAAGCAGGGGGGAAGAGUGGAGAAUGGGCGCAAGCCUGAGGCAGCCAUGCCGCGGGGAUGAAUAAGGCCUUCGGGUUGUAAAGUACUUUCAGCUGGGAGGCGUUACCCGCAGAAGAAGCACCGGCUAACUCCGUGCCAGCAGCCGCGGUAAUAC
rnacentral:rRNA from 1 species